AUGUUUGCAGUUCAAGGUGUUGACAUGACCAAGGAAGAGCCUCAGCCUGGCAAGGCUUCCAAGGUGCGUGUUUGUCGGGAUACCAAAACCAAGCUGAGAAACCGCAAGCGCCGAAAGCGGAAUGCAGGAGGCAUCGGGCCAGUACUGGAAGAGGACCAUCCCCAUGAGGUUGAGGCUCAGGAAAUGGGCCUUGUACCUAUUCCAGAUUUUGAGCCUGAGAUCACUCAUUAUGCGCUCAGUGAACCUAAGAGAAAGACUCACAUCAACAUCGUGGUCAUUGGCCAUUUUGACUCUGGCAAGUCAACCACAACAGGACAUUUGAUCUACAAGCUUGGAGCUAUUGACAAGCAUACGAUCGAGGUGCUCGAGAAGAAGGCUGCUGAGAUGAACAAGAGGUCUUUCAAGUACGCGUGGGUGCUCGACAAGCUGAAAGCUGAGCGUGAGAGGGGUAUCACCAUUGAUAUUGCCCUGUGGAAGUUUGAGAUCACCAAGUACUACUGCACAGUCAUCGAUGCGCCUGGUCAUCGUGACUUCAUCAAGAACAUGAUUACUGGCUGGUACCUCCCAGGCUGA
rnacentral:rRNA from 1 species